AGCCUCCAGACCGGAAGCUAUUCAGACGGGAAGCCCUCCACGUCCUUUCCCUUCCCUCUCGGCGCGGUGCAGACAGCGUGGCCCGUCCAGCUCCCAGAGAUGAGCAGCUUUCUCCGGGGCUCUAGUCCCUCUGAGGCUCCGUCGCGACCCGCAGCGCCAGAACCUCCAAACCCCAAUGUGACCUCAACCACACUGAGAUGAGGUGUUGAUCAGAAAUGAAGACCUAAUCCUUCCAGUGCCAUGCUGAGCUCUCGGGCGGUGCAGACCAGAUGCUUCCUGGCCAGGAUGGACCUACGGUGGUCUACUCAGCAGAACAGGAGAUUGCAUUCCUGAGGUUCCUGAUCAAGGUGUAGAAUCCUGUUCCAAGCUAGAAAUCACGACGAGUCGAGAGAUGUCCCGGUGGGAGACUCUUCUGCUGUUCUGAGUGGAUCCUGUGAAGGCCAGAUGGGUGUGGUGACGAGGAACCCAAUGCAGAGCUACAGACCCGGUGGAGUCCAGAGACGUCCCGCUGUGAGACUCUUCUACUGAACUGAGUUUCCUGAACUCUGCGUCGGUUGGAGUCCACCUUCAUGAAGAGAUUUGGAUCACCCACACUGGGAAUCCUUUUUGUCUGUAACAAAUGAACCAAUAAACCCCUCAACAUCCACCACU